rnacentral:pre_miRNA from 1 species
UUUCUACACCCUCCGUCCGAAAAUACUUUUCAUCAAAAUGGAUAAAAAGAGAUGUAUCUAAAACUAAAAUACGUCUAGAUACAUUUCCUUUUAUCCAUUUUGAUGACAAGUAUUUCCG